rnacentral:lncRNA from 1 species
AUAACUGAAUCCCAAACGCUGCGCAGGACAUACUUAUACUAAAAGAAGUUUCGGAGUCCCCUGGUGGUUCAGAGGGUUCAGAUGUGGUGUGGUCACUGCUGUGACACAGGUUCGAUCCCUGGUCUGGGAACUUCCAGGUGCCUCCUUCGGCUCCACUGACUGUCAAGAGCCACGUGUGGCCAGUAGCCGUGGCAUUGCUCAGUGUGGGUCCAGAGCGAUCCGGCUUGCCCUGGCCCUGCCAGUUGCUCGAGCUUGCCUUGUUUCCGAUGACCAUGGCCAUUCUGAAGAAGAGUGGUCAGGUGUUGUGUGGACUGUCCCUCCACUGGGAUCUGGGAGUCGACUGGAGGACAUGGGUUUGGAGGAGGGAGAUCACCGAGUUGAGUGCCAUGCUCGUCACAUCAGACCAAGGGCCCGCGUGCUGAGUCUCAGCAUGACGUAGCGCGGUGGACGCUGGCCUUGACCAUCUGGCUGAGGUGUGGGUGUCAGGUUUCUCCACUGUGGUCACUCUUUUUCUGCGCCCCCCUCCCCGCAGCCUUCCACGGAAUGGCGUCACCACGCAUCCCCCACGCUGAAGGUGCAGACAGCAUCCUGUCUUUUAUCUACUAAAUCUGGCAACCCUUUCAGGGGCGCCCACCACAGGUCAAGUGCUCCAUCGCCACCUGAGGCUGGUGGCCACCGCCGUGGACAGUGGGGCUCUAGCCUAGAGCAUCGGGUCAGAGCACUCGGGCGGCCCAAACGCGUCAUUCACACGCCGCCCGCAGCACAGUUCACUUAUUUUCCGUUAGGUGGGCUUUUGUGUGUGUGUCUUUUUAGGGCCGCACCCACGGCACAUGGAGGUUCCCGGGCUAGGGGUCGAAUCGGAGCCACAGCUGCCAACUGGCCUACACCACAGCCACAGCAACGCAGGAUCCGAGCCGUGACUGCAACCUACACCACAGCUCACGGCAACACUGGAUCCUUAACCCACUGAGCGAGGCCAGGGAUUGAACCCGUGUCCUCAGGGACACUAGUCAGAUUCCUUUCCGCUGAGCCACGACAGACAGAAGCUCCUGGGCUCACUUCUUAAAAAAGGAAAUUGAGGAGUUCCUGUUAUGGCUCAGCAGGUUGAGAACUCAACUAGUAUCCAGGAGGGUGCAACCCCUGGCCUCAAUCAGUGGGUUAAGGAUCCGACAUUGCGGUGAGCUGUGGUGUAGGUCGCAGACGCAGCUCGGAUCUGGUGUUGCUGGGGCUGUGGUGUAGGCCGGCAGCUACAGCUCCGAGUCGACCCCUAGCCUGAGAACCUCCAUAUGCUGUGGACGUGGCCCUAAAAAUAAUAAUAAUAAUAGUAAUAAUAAAAUUUAAAAAAUUUUAAAAGGAAAGCGAUAUCACUACCUUACGAGGUUCCUGCAGGAGUGCCUGCAGGUGGUCUAGCUCCAUUCCUCCCUCUUGGCUUUUGUCAUCUAAUUUCUCCUCCUCCUUCUCCUCAGGGAAGCUUCAGGAUGCGGGACCCCCAUGGUCCUGGUCGCCCCUGAGUUCAUUUGUCCUUCCUCUGGCCAAGGCCCAAUUCCUCUAGCCUCAAGCAUCCCCAGCUGGGGAAGCAGAGAGCUGAGCAGUCAACCAGUGCUGGGGCACCUCUGCCCCCCACCAGGCUCGUCUGGGCCGGAAGCUGUAGGUCUGCAGGGGCUACACCUGGUUGGUUCUGAGACUCACCUGAGAGCUCUCACACGCUUAUAUUCAACUCCACCCAUGUGGAUUCAAAUAAAAGAUGUGGGUCGAGAGGAGGUUAAAAGCAGCCCAGUGGGCUAAUAAUCAGUCACGUUAGACACCCCUGAGGGCCGGCGGGGGGUGGUCCUGGGUGGGCAGUACUCAGGGAAGAGAGGCCCCCAAAGGCAGCGCAGCUGUGGUCUGCAGACUUGAGGGCAGAGUCUGAGUCUGGUGCAUCGUUUAAAGCAGGCACCUGUUGGAUGAAAAGUUCUAGUUCUGCUUGUUCCUCGGUGGACAGAAUUAGAUGCUAACAGGCCCUUCUGAGAAGCUCCUUUUCUCUUCCCAUUUGCCAAGGCAGAAGGGAAACUUAGCAUUUUGUUACUGCCAGAUACCAGAGCCUCUUUGCUUCCUCCCUUCCUUUCUUCUUUUUCUCUCUCCUUCCUCCCUUCUUCCUCAUCUUUCUGGCCCUUAUCAUGGCUCUGGUCCCUCGGAUCAGGGACAGAGCUAGACAGCAUCCUUCUGGGUUGCUCCCCAUCAUAUUUCAGGGAUUCACUUGUUUCUUUUGAUCCACAGGUUUACAGUUGGAGAGGAACUGCUCUCAGGAUGAAUGAUAGGAGUUCCCCAGUGGCUCAGCAGGCUAAGGAUCUGGUGUUGCCCCUGCUAGCCUCCCUACACUAGACACAGAUGAUUUGGAUAAUGAGAUUUAGCUGAGAUGUGGGACUCUGAGUUGUGCUGUAAAUGGGUUAAGAGCGGCAGGGACCUUGGACCAAGUGAAUGUAUUUUGCAUUUGGGACAGACGUGCAUCUCUGGAGGGCAGAGGGCAGUCUGAGUAGAAUGUCCUGCCCCAAAGGUGUCCAGGUCCUCACCCUGGAACCUGUAAAUGUGUUACCUUACCCGGCAAAGGGGACUUUGCAGAUGUGAUUAGAUAAAGGGCCUUGCCACGGGAAGACGAUCACUGUUGAGUCAUGGGACUCCUUAAAAGCAGGGGCAGGUCUUGGGCGGUAAGUAAGAGAGAUGAGGCCGGGUGGGUGGUCAGAGAGACGACCAGGUGACUUUUGUUCACCGUGUGUCCCCAGAGGCUGGAACCUAGGAGGCUCUCAGGAAGUGCUUGGUGACAGAACAGUGAGCAUUUUUUGAGCACCUGCUAAGACCCGAUUCUAUAACAGUCACACAGACAAGUUCCUUCGCCUCUCUGACCCCAAAUUGUCCCUUCUCUAUAGGUGACAGAAAUAAGGCUCAAAAAAAAAAAAGGAAGUCUCCAUCGUGGCUCAGCAGAAACACGUCUGACUAGCAUCCAUGAGGACAAGGGUUUGAUCCCUGGCCCCGCUCAGUGGGUUAAGGCUCUGGCGUUGCCGUGAGCUGUGGUGUAGGUUGCAGACGUGGCUCAGAUCCUGCAUUGCUGUGGGCCAGCGGCUACAGCUCUGAUUUGACCCCUAGCCUGGGAAUCUCCAUAUGCUGUGGGUGCGGCCUUAAAAAAUAAGGUUCAGUGAAGUGAAGGGACUUGCCCAGAGUGACCCAGUGAUUAAACAGCCGGGCUGAAAUUCAAAAGCAGGACCAUCAGAAACUGUCUGGUUGCCAAACCUACAUCCCCAUCCCCCCCCAUUAGGACCUGGCCAUAAUGGGUGAACACGCCCUGGGCGGACAGCCGUGAAGCGUCUCACAGCCCCGUUUUGUUCUUUUGCUUCCUUCUGCGGCUUUUCAUCUUGGCCACUGGCUGGCAGCCCAUUUCUGACGGAACAGAGCAGCUCUGCCUGGGACUGACCAGCAGGGGGUGCUAGCGUCCAAGGAUAAAGACCCGGCGUUGCCAGAGGGUCCAGUUUUCUCAGAAUGAGGGCCCUGGCUGCCUCCCCCGCAAAGAGGGACAGUCGCAGCCGGAGACUGGUCCCUGCCCCUGCCUGCUGGCCAGAGGGUUUGUCUCCCUGGCAACAGUCUUCCCGGAGGAGGGGAAAGCACCUCCCAGGGUCACUGACACGGGGAAAGCUCCUAGCACAGUUCCUGCUCUGGCCCUCGGUUGAAUUUGCAUCCUUCAUCAGGAGAUGUUGAAUGAUUCUCAUAGGACUAUAAUUUCAGAUUCUGCCCAAACCACAUGAAUCUUUUAUUUUGACUCAGCCAUCUCUCCCCUUUUCCUCCAGUUCUGUCUGUCCUUAUCAAGUCUUCCCAAGCUUGAGAACACUCCCAAACAAGCUGGCAAGCACCCUCAGGCCGAUUAUAAACAACCUGGGAUGCUUGAUUCAAAAGGCCCUCCUAGGAGUUCCCGUCGUGACACAGUGGUUAAUGAAUCCGACUAGGAACCAUGAAGUUGUGGGUUUGAUCCCUGGCCUCGCUCAGUGGGUUAAAGGAUCCAGCGUUGCAGUGAGCUGUGGUGUAGGUCGCAGAUGUGGCUUGGAUCUGGUGUUGCUGUGGCUCUGGUGAAGACCAGUGGCUACAGCUCCGAAUCCGACCCCUGGCCUGGGAACUUCCACAUGCCGCAGGAGCAGCCCUAGAAAGGACAAAAAAACAAAAGUCCAUCCUAGGUUCCCGUCGCGGCUCAGCAGGUACCGACCCCAAUUUGUAACCAUGAGGACGCAGGUUUGAUCCCUGGCCUAGCUCAGCAGAUUAGGAUCCAGUGUGGCUGUGAGUUGUGGUGUAGGUCACAGUCGUGGCUCGGAUCUGGUGUUGCUGUGGCUCUGGUGUAGGCCAGUGGCUAGAGCUCCGAAUCCGACCCCUAGCCUGGGAACCUCCAUGUGCCCCGGGUGCAGCCCUAAAAGACAAAAAAAUAAAACAUUCUUAAAAGGAAAAGCAAAACAAAAGGCCCUCCUAGACUUGGCCUGUGAGGGGCUCUUUUCAUUUGAAAACACUGGAGUGCAAGGGGAAAUUCAAAAAUAUGGUGCUUCUGCAUGUACAUUUCCUCUGCCUUCCUACCCAGAACCCAGCUAUUCGCAAACAUCUACGGAUGUGUGUGCUAUGCAUGGACGAAGGUAAAAAAGUAAGACUCAGUCACAUCACCAGAGGCCCCUCCGAGGACAGAUACCAGGACCCUUGAGAACAAUUUACGUGCCCAUCUACAGAUCCGCACGGGGAAGGGGCCUCUGAUUCGGUUCCCCGGUACUUCACAGGCUGACCUCCAAUCCCAAGGUCAGAAAGACAAAGGCAGGACCAGGAAUGCAGCCCAGGCGUGCUAGGCUCCUCUCUCCCUCGUUCUCACCAGGCAGGAGCCCCUGAAAGUCACCCUUUCACAGGCUCCAAAGGUCUGCUAAAUGUAGGUCACUAUGGCCGAAGACGCGUGUUUUCACCUUAUCCUGACACACAGGCAGUUGCGCAGUGAGUCUGGACCGUGCCUGGGGUUUAGCGACGCUGGCCCCAGGCCAUGUGGUGGCCCAACAGAUCUCAGGGCCACGCCGUCAAGGCUGGACCCCUGGGGUUGAAGACAGCUCUCUCUCCUCAGCAUCUCUUCCAGAUUCUUUUCCUCCUCACCAGUAAAUCACAUACCGACAGGCCAGGAGACAAAGCAUUUGAUUAUUUCAUGCAGUCAUUCCUUCUCCUUCCUGCUUCACCUGAUGCAUAAGAAUUUUGCGGUACAACUUCAGUUUUACAAGAAUAUGCAACAGAAAGAAAUAAGGAACUCAGUGAUCCACAACCAGCUAAAUGAGGGUUUUUUCUCUCUCUCUCUCUUUUUUCUUCUAAUGUAAAGCAGUUCCAAGAAAAGUGAAGUCACAGCCCAGGGUGCUUAUUUUCAGUUCUUAGAAAAGAGCAAAUUUCAAAAGGGAAGCUUUGCAGCCGGAGCACACAGCCUGCCCUGGUCUGGCCAAGGUGCUUGCUGAUAAACCAACUUUGAUUUGGCAUCAGAAAACCAAAACCCCCGCCCCAGAUGCGUUUUCAUUCGGUGAUGUCAGGGAGGAAAUGCUCGCCCAAACAGUGAGAGUUCUUCAUGUUCAGGGAAACCGCAAGGGCUCCACUAACAGCUAACUUGCCCAGAUGGCGCACUUCCAGCUCGGAGCCACCGGGAGCUGUCGGCAGUCUGCGGGAUCCACGGGAAAAAAACACCAGACACCCUUGUGUCCCCACCUCCACACUCCUUGGGUAGUUCACUGCCCAGAUGACGACACAGGCCCAAUCAGCAAUUUUCAAUCAGGCAUUUGUCGCCAGAAGUUAGGUGAGGAUAAAGUGGGCAGGAUAUGAUAUGGGUCUCGCAGCCAGGGUCAGUCUUGCAGCAGAAGAGUGGGCUUCAGACAGGGGAGCCCCAGGAAGACCGACUUCAGUUUAAGGUCUUAGGGAGCCCACCACACACCCAGCUCAAGAGCUACUAUUGGGGGCGUUCCCAUCGUGGCGCAGCGGAAAUGAAUCCAACUAGGAACCAUGAGGUUGUGGGUUCGAUCCCUGGCUCAGUGGGGUAAGGAUCUGGCGUUG